rnacentral:lncRNA from 1 species
UUUUGUAGCGCGGGGCCCGUGGGCAAGAGGCCCGGGAGACUGCGAUAGCAGAGGGGAAGUCGCCAAUGGCUACCUGGAUCGAGUCCCCUUUGUAUUUCGUUCACAUCACCCUUUUUUCUUCCACCGAGACACCGCAUCCUUUGGCUACCGUCGGUGGCGCGGUGGUGGGAGUGUAAGAGGAGGUCUGCUUCCGCUGCCACCAUUACCUGUUUCUUGGAUGGUUAAGCUUGAGUAAAGGAAACUUCUGGGAAGUGGCCAAAGACCCUUGACAUGCCCCCCGCAGAGGAAACAUCGCUGACGUCAUCUCUGCUUGUCCACUCUGUGCUUCAGUCAAGCCCAAGGCCAUCCCAGCGGCAAACUUUUGCUGCCCUCUCCCAGAAUGCCUGCUGAAACUGCCUCCUUGAGUCUGAAGGGGACCAGUGGAAACUUUGGGGGACAUAUUUUCGGGAGGCCAAGGCUCAAAUUGCCUGCCCAGGAACACAGUCAAGGAAGUGCUAUGGUCUAUUCUAGGCUUGUGGUCCAACACCAGAGACAGCUUCCUUGUAAACUCGAAGAGGUUGAUCAUGGGUCUAUUAUUUGCAUAGUGUAUCUUUGCAUCUGCAUUCACUUAAUAUCCAAAUGCUUAGAAAACUGCCAGCCAGUUUUGUGGCUCUAACAAGGCAGUGUCUUGUUCUUUGAAAGCCUCCGAGUAAAAACAGUUUAUAUGUGCUUUGGAAGUGCUUGUCUGAAAUCUAAAGUUAACCUCUGUUUGUAUUCACGUCUUCUGGAUUAGUUACAGUACCCUGAACACUGAGCAGAGGACAGAGGGAGUAGGGUUUUGUUUUUCUCAGUCUGGAAAAGCCCAUCCUUGCUCUGUCUGUAAGCAUAUCCUUCUGGGAGGAAAAUGUUAUCAGCAAUAUUCCGAUGACCUGGGAUGGGGCUGAGGAUCAGGAAGGGAGCCCAACAACCCGAGGAUCGUUUUUGUGUUUCUUUUGGUGUUAAAUUGCUGUCUUGUUGAUGGAGGAAGGUAAGAAGGGGUGGAGACCCGGCUCGGUGGAGUUGGGAGGAGCAUGGGCAGAGUCAUGUGGGCUUGGCUUCCUUUCCUUCGAUCUCGCUUACCCAGUGAGCUAGAGAGAAUUUGCAACCACCUUCAACUAGAGAACAAUCUGCAAGCCAAUCUGCCCUGGGCACUGCCUCCGGGAACUUACAC